GAAGGUUGAUAGGGUGGAUAUGAAGUCUGGUUUUGCUUUUGUUUAUAUGGAUGAUGAAAGAGAUGCAAAGGAUGCUAUUCAGGGGCUUGACCGAAUAGAAUUUGGCAGAAAGGGACGGAGGCUUCGUGUUGAGUGGUCUAAGGAAGAACGGAGCAGGAAGCCUGAGGGUUCUAAAAAAUCUUCAUCAAGCUUCAGAGUUUCCAAGACCUUGUUUGUCAUAAAUUUU
rnacentral:misc_RNA from 1 species